rnacentral:rRNA from 1 species
UACAGAGGUCCCAAGCGUUGUUCGGAUUCACUGGGCGUAAAGGGUGCGUAGGUGGUCGGGUAAGUUUGGUGUGAAAUCUCCGAGCUCAACUCGGAAACGGCACUAAAAACUACUCGGCUGGAGGGUCGGAAGGGGGGCUGGAAUUCUCGGUGUAGCAGUGAAAUGCGUAGAUAUCGAGAGGAACACCAGUGGCGAAAGCGAGUCCCUGGACGACUCCUGACACUGAGGCACGAAAGCUAGGGGAGCAAACAGG